GGUUUGAUGGCUUUGGCGGGGGAGGAGUGGGGAGGAUACAGAAUACCAAGCUAAGGGAGACUCGUGACAAUUUCUCCUUAGGGCGAGAGGAGUAAGCCGGGCACGAAACACUGGCAGGACUGGGAGAGCUAGAAGGGAAGGCUGACCACUAACACCAGACCCCCCGCCCCAACUCCCAUGGACUCUGGAGGAUUUGAAGACCAGUCCUCUCUAUUUUUAGAAGAAGGGCAACUGUCUGUCUCAGGUCUUCCCUGGUGGCUCAGCAAUAAAGAAUCUGCCUGCAAUGGAGGAGAGGUGGGUUCAAUCCCUGGGUCAGGAAGAUUCCCUGGAGAAGGAAAUGGCAACUCACUCCAGUAUUCUUGCCUGGAGAAUCCAAUGGACCGAGGAGCCUGGCAGGUUGCAAUACAUGGGGUCAC
ensembl:lncRNA